rnacentral:misc_RNA from 1 species
UCAUGUAAGUUGUUUGAUAGCUUGGUUAAACUCAAGCUCUCUUUCCAGAACAACAACAAAGGAGAGGUCUCUGAACCCCAAAUUACCUUCACUUCGAAACUCCUCUCCAUUCACUAUGAUCUUGUUGACCAAAUUGCUCUUAUCAAGGGCUCCUUUGAUGUGGGUCCCGCUUUGCAAUUCAGGGCUGCCCAUGAUGUCAAGGCUCAACAAGGAGAGGUGUCAAUGCUUGCAAAGCUUGCUGAUCCUGCCUAUGCUCUUGAGCUGUCAUCUCCUGUUCCAACAAUUGGUUUGCCAAGAGCAACCUUGAAAUUCCCCCGCCCCCUUGGCGAGGUUUCACUUGAGGAGAGAGAAGAUGAGGAAGUGAAAAGAACAUUGUCAAUAGGUGGAAUUGUCAAAGGCCAGAUUCUGAAUGGACUAUGCUCUGCUCAAUUCAAUGAUGAAGAUUUGAAACUAAGAUAUGCUUAUAAGGAUGAAGAGCUUUCAUUUAUCCCUAGCAUUUCUCUGCCUUCAAAUGCUUUAUCAUUUGCAUUCAAGCGUCGGAUCAGUCCCAAUAAUAAGUUGAGCUACU